GUAUUAGUUGCAGUUCUUCCAAGAAACAAAACCCAUAGUGUGUAUGUGUAUAGAGAGAGAUUUUAAGGAAUUGGCUCAUGAUCGUGGGGUUUCGCAAGUCUGAAAUCUGUAGGGUGGGCCAUCAGGUCUGGAAAUUCAAGUAAUAUUUGAUGUUACAGAUAAUAUUGGUGUGAAUCUGAAACCUUCAGGGUAGACCAACAAGCUGAAAACUAGGGCAGAGUUUCUAUGUUGGAGUCUUGAGGAAGAAUUUCUGCUUCUCUGAAAACCUGAGUCUUUGGUCUCUUAAGGCUUCAACUGAGUGUUGAGGUCUACCCUCUUUAAUGAGGGUAAUCUGCUUAAAAUCAACAGAUGAUCCAUGUUAAUCACACCCACAAAAUACCUUCAAAGCAACAUCUUGACAAGCGUUUAACCAAACUGGACAUUAUAUCCUUGUCAAAGUAAUACAUGAAAUUAUCGAUCACAGAGAGCAAACUUUAAACCUAAAUAAUAGAAGAAAUCCCAUUACCUAAAGCAACAAAAGGACAAGGACCUAAGAAUAAACUUAACAAAAUAUGCAAGAUUUAUAUAAAUGAAAGUUCUAUAUGGGAAAACUAUAAAAGUAAACUUGAAUGUUUAAAAAGAAUGUUCUUCUUGGAAUAGAAAGACUUAACCUACUAAAAUAAUCAAUUCACCCUAAGUUAAUCUACACAUUUAACAUGACCUCAGUACAUGGUAAAAAAAAAAUAAAAAUUAUCCAGGAAAAUUAUGGGGAACCAAAAAAAAAAAAAGUGAGUUUCUAUUAGGGUCAGCCAGCAGUUCUAAUUUCAACCAGAACUAUAAAGGAAAGAGAGUUCUGGGAAACGUAGUUCCAAUGUAGCAAAAAUUGAUAGUAUAAAAACCACUCAGAACUUCUCUUGUCACCUCGACCUCAUAUUAUUAUCCAUAAUUAAUAUUUAAAUAAAGCCUUCAUCAGAAUCCUACUUUAGCCCUUAUGAUGCAGCUUUCUCUCAUACAACUAAAAUCAGCUCACUCCUAUCCCAAGAGAGGAUAAAGAGUCUUCUUUGAGCAAUGCCCAGUCCUCCUCUUAGUGGGUCACAAUAUCCCUUUGACAUUCCAAAACAUACAUAAUAAGUUGUAAGGUUAACUACUAUUAACAGGCCAGGGAUUAAACCCAAGGUCUUGUACAUAUUAAGCAAGCAUCCUACCACAGAGCUAUGUACCCAGUCAGAAAAAAAAAAAGUUGGUUAAUAUAUAUACAAAUGUAUCAAAAUGAGGGAAAAUGCCCAUAAAUAUUACAGUACUUAUAUCUACAACUAGUAAAAUUGUCAUGGCUACUAUUUUUAUAACUAUCUUUCUUCUCUUCAGUUACCUGUUUAAUAUUCCCUUUACCUUCAGUAAAUAUCUCAGCUGUUGGUAGUUCCUUGCCUUUUGAAUACACCUAAACCUGCAUUCCUGAAGGAUCUGAGCUAUUAGAGUUUCUACUUCUGUUGGAUUGUGGUAGUUUUCCAUUACGUCACAUCACAGAGCCUGGUAAUUCUAAGUACCAUGUAACAUCUCCAAAGAAUCUCCUGCAUUCCAUUCGUAUUCCUUCCUUCUCCCAUUGUGUAGCAGCUUGGUGUGAGCAAUCAUUCUGCUUGGAAGUGAUCAAUCACUUCAGGUAGUUCAAUGAUCCCUUCUUGGUAUGUUGGCUAAAUAGCAGAAAGCUCAAAAUAGUCAAGUGACUGUCUCAUCUUUCAACUUAAUUGAACUGUUGCUGGUAUGCCCUAGUGGGAGCAUUGUUCUUUAGGAGAAGCAGAAAAUUACAGAGAUGGAAAGCAAAAAUUUUGCAUGUGCUUCAUUAGGAGUAAAAGUGGGGAUCCACUCCCAAGCCUACCCCUUGAAUCCUGGACCAUGGCUGUAUAUUUGUCACUAUUUUCAUGAGCUUUUAUGUCGCUGUGGCCAAAAGACCUGACAAGAACAAUUUAGAGGAAAAAAGUUUAUUUUGCUCACAGUUUCAGAGGUUCAAUUCAUGGUUGGCAGACUCCAUAACUGUGAGUCUAAGUUGACCUCAGAACAUCAUGGCAGAAGGGCAUAGCAGAAGAAAGCAGCAGAACAUGAUAGACAGGAAGCAGGGCAAACUCAGCACCCUUGAGACAAAAUAUAAACCCCAAAGGCAUUGACCUACUUCCUUCUGUCACAACCUACUUGCCUGCAGUUACCAUCUGGUUAAUCCAUAUCAGUGGAUUAAUCCUUCUCAUAAUCUGGUCAUUUAAACAUUCUCGAAUUGUCUCACAAGAGUUUUUGUGAGACACUUAAUAUCUCAACCAUAACAUUGUAUCCCUAGCUCCCAAAAGCUCAUACUUAUCUCACAAUGCAAAAUACAUUUAGUCCAUUUUGAAGAGUCCCCAUAGUCUUAACAGCUCCAGCAUUGCCCAAAAAGUCCAAGUCCAAAAUCUCAUCUGAGACUCAAGGCAAACUAUUAACUGUGAGAAUAAAAAUCAAAAGCAAGUUAACCUAUGUCCAAUACAUAAUGACACAGAGGAAGCAUUCUCAUUCCAAAAGGGAGAAAUAGGGAUACAGAAAGAUGGGAUGGGACCAAAACAAGACUGAAAUGCAGCUUGGAAAACAAAUUCUGUAGCUCCAUGUCCAGGCACAUGGCAUUGUGAUGUUCUCUCCAAAGGGCUUAUGUAUUUCCUCCCUUGUGGUCUUUUGCUGGUUGCAGCUCACAUGGCUUCUUUCUUGGCUACCUCUGCUUGAUUCCUACAGCUUUACUAGGCAUACAUUUCAUGUUACUGGUAUCUCUUAAUUUCAGAGGUCUCUACUAC
rnacentral:lncRNA from 1 species